rnacentral:rRNA from 1 species
ACGUAGGGUGCAAGCGUUGUCCGGAUUUAUUGGGCGUAAAGAGCUCGUAGGCGGUUCAACACGUCGGAUGUGAAGACACGGUGCUUAACACCGUGCCUGCAUUCGAUACGGUCGAACUAGAGGAUGGCAGGGGAAACUGGAAUUCCUGGUGUAGCGGUGGAAUGCGCAGAUAUCAGGAGGAACACCGGUGGCGAAGGCGGGUUUCUGGGCCAUUACUGACGCUGAGGAGCGAAAGCGUGGGGAGCAAACAGGAUUAGAUACCCUGGUAGUCCACGCCGUAAACGGUGGGCGCUAGGUGUGGGGCACAUUCCACGUGCUCUGUGCCGCAGCUAACGCAUUAAGCGCCCCGCCUGGGGAGUACGGCCGCAAGGCUA